rnacentral:rRNA from 1 species
GACAGAGGUCCCGAGCGUUAGGCGGAAUCACUGGGCUUAAAGCGUGUGUAGGCGGAUUUGUAAGUACCUUGUGAAAUCCCCACGGCUCAACCGUGGAACUGCUUGGUAUACUGCUUAUCUUGAGCCACCUAGGGGGCAACCGGAACAAACGGUGGAGCGGUGAAAUGCGUAGAUAUCGUUUGGAACGCCAAUGGUGAAAACGGGUUGCUGGGGGUUGUGCCGACGCUGAGACACGAAAGCCAGGGGAGCAAACGGG